rnacentral:rRNA from 1 species
AUGGUAGGAUAGAGGCCUACCAUGGUUUUAACGGGUAACGGGGAAUUAGGGUUCGAUUCCGGAGAGGGAGCCUGAGAAACGGCUACCACAUCCAAGGAAGGCAGCAGGCGCGCAAAUUACCCAAUCCCGACACGGGGAGGUAGUGACAAUAAAUAACAAUAUGGGGCUCUUACGAGUCUUGUAAUUGGAAUGAGUACAAUUUAAAUCUCUUAACGAGGAACAAUUGGAGGGCAAGUCUGGUGCCAGCAGCCGCGGUAAUUCCAGCUCCAAUAGCGUAUAUNAAAGUUGUUGCAGUUAAAAAGCUCGUAGUUGAAUUUCGGGGUUUAUCCGUCGGUCGGGCUUUCGGGUCUGUACUGGCGUGAUGGAUUCCUACCUUCUGAAUAACCGGCACGUCAUUAAUUUGGUGCGCCGGGGAAGCAGGACUGUUACCUUGAAAAAAUUAGAGUGCUUAAAGCAGGCUUAUGCCUGAAUACAUUAGCAUGGAAUAAUGAAAUAGGACGGCAUGGUUCUAUUUUGUUGGUUUCUAGGAUCACCGUAAUGAUUAAUAGGGAUAGUUGGGGGCAUUAGUAUUCAAUUGUCAGAGGUGAAAUUCUUGGAUUUAUUGAAGACUAACUUCUGCGAAAGCAUUUGCCAAGGAUGUUUUCAUUAAUCAAGAACGAAAGUUAGGGGAUCGAAGACGAUCAGAUACCGUCGUAGUCUUAACCAUAAACUAUGCCGACUAGGGAUCGGACGAUGUUAAUUUUUUAAUGACUCGUUCGGCGCCUUACGGGAAACCAAAGUGUUUGGG